GGGGCUAUAAUUCAGUGUUAGAGCACAUGCUUAGCAUGCACUAUGUCCUGGGUUCAAUCCCCAGUACCUCUG
rnacentral:tRNA from 1 species